ACGGCACGGGAUCAAAUAGGAAAGGAACCCGGGCAGGUUCUGCGCAGCCCGUGGGGAGGGCCGGGCGGUGACGGAAGAGACUGGCGGUGACCCCAGCCGCUCUCCGGCCGGGACAGCACGGCUGGAAAGAAAGGAGGCAGCUCCGCUGCGGCGGCUCUCAGGGUGACAAAGGAUGGCGGUGCCGGAGCACCACGCGGGGCUGCUGCGCCACAGUGAGGGACGCAGCGGGGCACGGAUACGGAGAGAGCCGCCCCUACAGGAACACCGAGGCGGGCGGGCACGGAGCUGGCGGCCCGAGCGGGACGGAGCUCUGCGCUCUCCUGCUGGCAUCAGUGCAAGCCUACGGAGGCAAGGCUGUGCUCUUUGGACAACGUCCAACGCAAUGAUUUCAGCUCAGGGAAUUUCUCUUGAUGUGCACGUGCUGACCAUGGCUGGAAUGGCGAGCAGCAGACGGAAGUUACUAUACGGACAGCAGACUGAAAAGUGAGAUGGAAGCAAACACUAUAUUCACUUCAGCAGCGACAGGAGGAGCUCAGCCUGCCCUCAUUCCGCACACCACAGCCCUGCUUUUCAUCUCUGGUGGCUACAAAACUGAGGCUAUCUGCACAGAGCAGUUGCCUCACUGUGUAGCUGGUAUGAAAGGAAGAAACACCGUUAACACAGAAUCAUAGUAUCCUCCAGGUCCUUACAUCCAAGCUCAUCCAUAAUGCAUGGCACUGAUUUUGCACUGCACUGGUAGAAACGCAAAAGAUGAGAAAACCCUGUGUACUCCUAAUAAAACAAAGGAAAUGAUGACUUCUCCUCAGCUUGAACACAGUAAGGGGCAUUGAAAACUUCGGGGAUCACGAAGGCGGUCUGGCAGAGGGCAGGGCGAUGCGUGGCACUCGCUGAGGAUGGAAGCAGCGUGUUCCUGGAUGUGGGCUCAAUUUGCAGCUGAGCCUGGGCAGGGUUUGUGCUGUGGCUGCAAAGUAGGAGUAAUGAGCAAAUGGGUUCAGCCUUAAUGUGAGCUCAUAUCCAAACUCAUCCUGGACCACCUAGCAUGCCAAUGAGAAAAUUCUCGGCAUUAUUACCAUUAAAAAAAAAUACUCCACACUUCAAAGGGCAAUCAAACCACAAAGUCUGCACAGCAAUGCAAGAGCACGCUGAGCACCAGUCAGCCAAAGUGCAACCAGCCCUCUUUUCACUUCCUUCCUUCCAGCUAUUCCUCAAGCCCACCAAUGGGCUGGCACAGCCAGCGCAGCACCGGUGGCGAGGCGUUGUGAACAGAGGGAGCCCAGGGACACCUCACAGAUACACGGCCAGAUUCCAUCUACAUCAGAUGUGAGCAGACAGAAACCAAUAGGCCUUUCCCCAUUGGCACCAGCCUCACCCUGGGAGCAGCAGCCAUCCUGCCCUGCAUAGAGCAGAUGCUGAGCACCCAGCCUCAAGCUGACCUCGUGCUGCUCAGCUCCCUGUCUUAGGCUGUCGGCCUGAGAUUGCAGUGGCCCGCCUGUCCCACGUCCCAUCUCACUGCCCAAAGGGAAGCACAGGAGCAUUGCAGGGCCUGGAAGCAAUGAGGUCUCCCACAGGGGGAGGCAGACAGAAUCGCAGCCCUUUGUAUUGCUGCGAGGCAGCCCAGGCUCUGAUAGAGCGUCAUGAGGGAGAGGCACGCAAAGAAUGCACCAGAGCAAGAACGUACAAAGCACAGCUUGCUGUGAAAAAAUCCCACAGAAGGCCCUCAUACAAUGGUGACGGUGGGCUUUCUCCAGCACAGCAGUAAGUCUGCACCAGAACAGCACUGUGCUCUGUGGUGCGGCACCGCAGUGCCCACGUUCCUUCCUCAGCCCCUCAACAAGCACAGCUCCCUGCAGGAUGUGGCUUCCCAAGCACAGAGCUCAGCCCCACCAACCCAUAGCACACCCUGCAUACAGCUGAGGUAUAUAAAGUCAUACGGAAAACUGUUUCUGCUUGAGAUGUGCAAUUACAUAGGGCCUGGCUCCAAAGGCACUGCGAAAGAGCAUUUUUCCCCUUGGCUAUCCAAACCAUACCGAUGCUCAUAGAAAGACUCUAACAGAACUGGAACCCUGGAAGCCGAAGCACACCGUUUGCUCACAACCAACACCAGCAAUUGUUUAUUUGAAUGCAUUUUCAUGAGGUGAAUGUGACAGAGCUGCCGCUUUCGAGUUCCGGAGCGAGGCUGGCAAACGGCACCGAAGAGGAAUUAAGAAUUACACCGCUAAACUGAGUAUUGUCAUGUAAAUGAAGAACGUCACAUGGGAGCUGCGCAUUGUUCCCAGAGAUAAAUGCAGGAACUAUGGAAGCGAGUUCAAUAGAGUCCUGCCAGUGGGGCACUGGGUUGGGAACUGUCUGGGAGGCUGCCGCAGAGGGUAAGGAUAAAUACACGUAUGCACAGCUGCAGCGUCUGUCGGAGCUGACAACACGACUGCUAAUUGAGAGCUGUUCAUAAAAUUGGCGUCUGAUAUAAAAACAAACAAAACUCAAAAGGAAAACACUUUUGUGGCUCAAGAGAGUUUGCAAAGUUCCAUCUAAACACGCUAUCGCUUCGCUGAACCUACAACAAAACUUCUAUAAAAAGCCAGGUUAGCGAGGCAGAGCUUUCCUACUAGCAGUUGGCAGCCCCGCACAUAGCAGGGGGGUUGAAACCAGAUGAUCGUUGUGGUCCCUUUCAACCCAGGUCAUUCUAUAGUUCUAUGAUUCUAUUCAAUCCAGCCUCUGCUCUGGCAGCGCAGACGGCAGGAAUGGGGGAAGGGCUAAGAGCCCAAAGCAGCCGGCACCGCGGGGGCGCACGGGGCACAGCAACACGAGAAGUGACCCUGUUAUAGGGCUGGGAUGCGGCCCGAGCGCCUGGCACGGCUCUGCCCUCAUCACCCACGGCAGCGUUCCAAAACCGACAGCUAUUGCGGGUGCCAGCAGGGGCGGGUUGGCUCAGACCGAGCCACAGCACAGGGCAGGACACAGGUGGAGCGCGAUGCUGCGGGGCGCAGCGGAAUGCAGCGCAGCUCAGGCAGUCAGCACAAAGGAGGCAAAUCACCAACACGCUUUACUGAAAUAUCAGUUUCUUUAGUAUGUUACAGAAAAGCUUAUGAACAUAGAGAAUGUACAUAAAAGGCAGACUUCGUAAAAUAAAAAGGUCUUUUUGUUUAUAAAAAAUUAAAA
rnacentral:lncRNA from 1 species